AGAGUUUGAUCAUGGCUCAGGAUGAACGCUAGCUACAGGCUUAACACAUGCAAGUCGAGGGGCAUCAGUUUGGUUUGCUUGCAAACCAAAGCUGGCGACCGGCGCACGGGUGAGUAACACGUAUCCAACCUGCCUCAUACUCGGGGAUAGCCUUUCGAAAGAAAGAUUAAUAUCCGAUAGCAUAUAUUUCCCGCAUGGGUUUUAUAUUAAAGAAAUUCGGUAUGAGAUGGGGAUGCGUUCCAUUAGUUGUUGGCGGGGUAACGGCCACCAAGACUACGAUGGAUAGGGGUUCUGAGAGGAAGGUCCCCCACAUUGGAACUGAGACACGGUCCAACUCCGUACGGGGCA
rnacentral:rRNA from 1 species